rnacentral:rRNA from 1 species
GGUUAAGCGACUAAGCGUACACGGUGGAUGCCCUGGCAGUCAGAGGCGAUGAAGGACGUGCUAAUCUGCGAUAAGCGUCGGUGAGGUGAUAUGAACCGUUAUAACCGGCGAUUUCCGAAUGGGGAAACCCAGUGUGUUUCGACACACUAUCAUUAACUGAA